GUUUUUUUGAUAUUAAUUUAAAAUUUAACCUGCCCAUUGAUGAUUAAAUUAAAAGGCUGCAGUAUUUUGACUGUACAAAGGUAGCAUAAUAAAUAGUUUUUUAAUUAAAAACUGGUAUGAAUGGUUGGAUGAAAUAUUUACUUUUUUAAUUAAAAAUUUAAAAAUUUAUUUUUUAUUAAAAAAGAUAAAAUAAAUUUAAAAGACGAGAAGACCCUAUAGAGUUUUAUAUUUAAUUGAAUUAUUAUUUUAUAAUAAAAUAAAUUAUUUUAAUAUAUUAUAUAUUUUAUUGGGGUGAUAGAAAAAUUUAAUUAACUUUUUAUUAAAUUUUUAAUAUAUAUAUAUAUAUAUUAAUAAUUAUACAUUUAUAUAUGAAAAAUUGAUCCAAUUUUAUUGAUUAAAAAAUUAAAUUACCUUAGGGAUAACAGCGUAAUAUUAUUUUUAAGUUCAUAUUAAUAAUAAGUUUUGCGACCUCGAUGUUGAAUUAAGAAAAUUUUUAGGUGCAGAAGUUUAAAAAAUAAGUCUGUUCGACUUUUAAAUUCUU
rnacentral:rRNA from 1 species